rnacentral:rRNA from 1 species
UACGGAGGGGGCUAGCGUUGUUCGGAAUUACUGGGCGUAAAGCGCACGUAGGCGGCUUUGUAAGUUAGAGGUGAAAGCCCGGGGCUCAACUCCGGAACUGCCUUUAAGACUGCAUCGCUUGAAUUGUGGAGAGGUAAGUGGAAUUCCGAGUGUAGAGGUGAAAUUCGUAGAUAUUCGGAAGAACACCAGUGGCGAAGGCGACUUACUGGACACAUAUUGACGCCGAGGUGCGAAAGCGUGGGGAGCAAACAGG